rnacentral:rRNA from 1 species
GACGAACGCUGGCGACGUGCUUAACACAUGCAAGUCGAACGGAAAGGCCCUGCUUGCAGGGUACUCGAGUGGCGAACGGGUGAGUAACACGUGGGUGAUCUGCCCUGCACUUCGGGAUAAGCCUGGGAAACUGGGUCUAAUACCGGAUAGGAGCCAUUUUUAGUGUGAUGGUUGGAAAGUUUUUUCGGUGUAGGAUGAGCUCGCGGCCUAUCAGCUUGUUGGUGGGGUAAUGGCCUACCAAGGCGGCGACGGGUAGCCGGCCUGAGAGGGUGGACGGCCACAUUGGGACUGAGGUACGGCCCAGACUCCUACGGGAGGCAGCAGUGGGGAAUAUUGCACAAUGGGCGCAAGGCUGAUGCAGCGACGCCGCGUGGGGGAUGACGGCCUUCGGGUUGUAAACUCCUUUCGCUAGGGACGAAGCUUUUUGUGACGGUACCUAGAUAAGAAGCACCGGCUAACUACGUG